rnacentral:misc_RNA from 1 species
GGAGUAAAAGUCGUAACAAGGUUUCCGUAGGUGAACCUGCGGAAGGAUCAUUAUUGUAUAACCGAGGUGCGAGGGCUGUCGCUGACCCGAAAGGUCGUGCACGCCCGAGUGCCUCACACACAUCCAUCUCACCCCUAUGUGCACCACCGCGUGGGUCCCCCUUUGGCUUGUUCGGAGGGGGGCUUACGUUUUCACACAAACUUUGUAUGCAGUGUAGAAUGUAUUUUUUGUUUUUGCGAUCACGCAAUCAAUACAACUUUCAACAACGGAUCUCUUGGCUCUC